rnacentral:rRNA from 1 species
UACGAAGGGGGCUAGCGUUGUUCGGAAUUACUGGGCGUAAAGCGCGCGUAGGCGGUUUUGCAAGCCAGAGGUGAAAUGCCUGAGCUCAACUUGGGAAUUGCCUUUGGGACUGCGAGGCUUUGAGGACUGGAGAGGUGAGUGGAAUUCCCAGUGUAGAGGUGAAAUUCGUAGAUAUUGGGAAGAACACCGGUGGCGAAGGCGGCUCACUGGCCAGUUUCUGACGCUGUAGCGCGAAAGCGUGGGGAUCAAACAGG